AUUGAACGCUGGCGGCAGGCCUAACACAUGCAAGUCGAACGAGUGGCGGACGGGUGAGUAAUGUCUGGGAAACUGCCUGAUGGAGGGGGAUAACUACUGGACACGGUAGAUAAUACCGCAUACCAUCAGAUGUGCCCAGAUGGGAUUAGCUAGUUGGUGGGGUAACGGCUGACCAAGGCGACGAUCCCUAGCUGGUCUGAGAGGAUGACCCGGCAGAUUGGACCUGAGAAACGGUCCAGACGCCUACGGGAGGCAGCAGUGGGGAAUAUUGCGCAAUGGGAGCAAGCCUGAUGCAGCCAGGCCGCGUGUAUGAAGAAGGCCGUCGGGUUGUAAAAUACUUUCAGCGGGGAGACGUUACCCGCAGAAGAAGCACCGGCUAACUCCGUGCCAGCAGCCGCGGUAAUAC
rnacentral:rRNA from 1 species